rnacentral:rRNA from 1 species
AUGACUAAUUUUUUUAUAUUCUUAAUACACCAGAUUGCAUCAAGAGAAGCCAAGCAACAAACACUCAGGAAGAGAAGAUCUCAUGCACCCGGAGGAGGAGACCACGGCUCGCACGACGGAAGUCAGCCGAGAGAGGCGCGCCCAUGGAGGCGGCGUGUACGGCGGUGUUGCUCGCUACAAAGAACAUACACAUGUGAGAAGACCGGCGUAUGCGGCAGUGGCAACUACACCCCAUCCAAGCAUGAAGAUGCACCCGCCGGCGACGGCAACGCUCACGAUGUGGAGGCGGCGGACAACACAUCCAAUGGAGAUGGCAACAAAGAGCGGACGACGCGACGCUCCUCUGCUACCAAGUGCAACGGAGGCGCACACACGCAUAUGGAUGAGGAGGAAUCAGCCCGUCCUUUUCUUCUUUUUCAUGUACAUGUGUGGAGGCAGCGGACAACACAUCCGAUGGAGAUGGCAACGGAGAGCAGACGACGCGACGCUCAUCUUCUACCAAGUGCAAUGGAGGCGGUUGAUGGCACGCUAGCGGAGAUGACUCAGGAGCAGCCGGAGCUCGUGAAAACGUAG